rnacentral:rRNA from 1 species
CGGACGGGUGAGUAAUGCCUGGGAAACUGCCUGGUAGAGGGGGAUAACUACUGGAAACGAAAGCUAAUACCGCAUACGUCCUACGGGAGAAAGCAGGGGACCUUCGGGCCUUGCGCCAUCAGAUGUGCCCAGGUGGGAUUAGCUAGUUGGUGAGGUAAUGGCUCACCAAGGCGACGAUCCCUAGCUGGUCUGAGAGGAUGAUCAGCCACACUGGAACUGAGACACGGUCCAGACUCCUACGGGAGGCAGCAGUGGGGAAUAUUGCACAAUGGGCGAAAGCCUGAUGCAGCCAUGCCGCGUGUGUGAAGAAGGCCUUCGGGU